CCUUAGUAACGGCGAGUGAACAGGGAUGAGCCCAGCACCGAAGCCUGUGGUCAUUUGGCCAUUAGGCAAUGUGGUGUUUAGGUCGUUCCUCUGAGACACUGCUCCUCUCUAAGUCCAUCAAUGAGUACGGUUGUACUAACAUGGCCCAUGGAGGGUGAAAGGCCCGUAAGAGUGGAGUUCAGGUACGACAGUGUCUCUUUGGAUUGACCUUGGAGUCGGGUUGUUUGGGAAUGCAGCCCAAAGCGGGUGGUAAACUCCAUCCAAGGCUAAAUACAAGCACGAGUCCGAUAGCGAACAAGUACCGUGAGGGAAAGUUGAAAAGUACUUUGAAGAGAGAGUAAACAGUGCGUGAAACCGCUUAGAGGUAAACGGGUGGAGUUGAACUGUAAUCUUUGAGAAUUCAGCUGGGGAAUUUUGCUUGAGCUUGGUCAUUUGAGCAGGGCUCCGAGGUAUGCUCAGUUGCAUGUCCUGAUCUUCGGGUUGGGAUGCGCGUUGCUCUUAUCAAGGGUUGCGCGCCUCGGUGGUUCAGCUAGCUCGUUCGCCAGUGCACUUUCUCAUAGUGAUCACCACGACCGGCGCUGCUGCUUGGCUGUUUCAGUUAAAUUGGCUAUUCUUCGUCUCUGUGGCGUUGGGUGGUCAACACGGCAGGUAAUUGGGGGCAUGCUUCGGCUUGUUUCCUGGUGUAUGCUGAUUUUAACAGUCCAAUGCGGUGCGUCGGAGACGGCGGCUAGUGGUGUGUGCGCGCGUGCCUAUCUGUUGGCAUAUUCUGGUUUGGUUGCUGUGUGCUUGUUUAGGCAGGCCCAGUGAUAGCUGGAGUGUGUCGGUGGGUGGUUGCGUGUGUGACACCGUUCAGGGCCAACAGUCUGUGGUGUUGUGGUAGACUAUCCACCUGACCCGUCUUGAAACACGGACCAAGGAGAGUAACAUGUGCGCGAGUCAUUGGGCGUAACGAAACCCACAGGCGCAGUGAAAGUAAAGGUCUGGCUUGUCCAGGCUAAGGUGAGAUCUUGUCGUUUUUCAUGCGCGGUACCACCAAGCUUGGAGCGGCAGGCGCAUCACCGGCCCGUCCCAUGACGUGGCCACGAUCUCCGGAUUGUGCGCCGUCGGGGCGGGGCAUGAGCGUACAUGUUGAGACCCGAAAGAUGGUGAACUAUGCUUGCGCAGGUUGAAGCCAGAGGAAACUCUGGUGGAGGACCGCAGCGAUUCUGACGUGCAAAUCGAUCGUCAAACGUGAGUAUAGGGGCGAAAGACUAAUCGAACCAUC
rnacentral:rRNA from 1 species